rnacentral:rRNA from 1 species
AGCACUCCGCGUGAGUGAAGAAGGUUUCGGCUCGUGAGCUCUGUUCUUGGAGAAGAACGUGCGUCAGAGUAACUGUUUACGCAGUGACGGUAUCCAACCAGAAAGUCACGGCUAACUACGUGCCAGCAGCCGCGGUAA